AUUGAACGCUGGCGGCAGGCUUAACACAUGCAAGUCGAACGAGUGGCGGACGGGUGUGUAAUAUCUGGGAAACUGCCCGAUGGAGGGGGAUAACAACUGGAAACGGUAGCUAAUACCGCAUACCAUCGGAUGUGCCCAGAUGGGAUUAGCUUGUAGGUGAGGUAACGGCUCACCUAGGCGACGAUCCCUAGCUGGUCUGAGAGGAUGACCAGCCACACUGGAACUGAGACACGGUCCAGACUCCUACGGGAGGCAGCAGUGGGGAAUAUUGCACAAUGGGCGGAAGACUGAUGCAGCCAUGCCGCGUGUAUGAAGAAGGCCUUCGGGUUUUAAAGUACUUUCAGCGGGGAGGCGUUACCCGCAGAAGAAGCACAGGAUAACUCCGGGCCAGCAGCCGCGGUAAUAC
rnacentral:rRNA from 1 species